UCUUAACCAACCAAAAUAUAGAACAAGUGUCAAAUAAAUAAAAGGACAACCAAUAAAAGCUCGCCAUGUAUACUUGUCUCUCUCUCGGACUCAGACUCGAUUUCUGAUUUCUCACUGUACCACCAAACAUACACAUAAAAGAGAAAGCAAACUAAUCUGCCGCUGCUGAAAGAUUCCAAACGAUGAUAUGUUUGAGUAGGAUUUUUUCGGUUUCCAACGAAUCACCGGAUCCGUACAGUCCUCGUGUCUCAGGGUAUAACAAGCUUGCCUUCACUAGGGCGAAACCAGAGAUUGAGAUGGCAGCGAUUCUCGGCGUUAGACCCAUCAGAAUCUUCCUCUCUCGACUGAUUCCACGGAUAAGUUUACUUCCGGCUUUUGUAUCAUAGAAGGACCUGAAACAGUACAAGACUUUGCCAAAAUGCAAUUACAAGAGAUUCAAGAUAACAUUCGAAGCCGAAAACUUCUUCUUUCUAAAAGUUUCCUAAAGUGGAAACCUUUUUCAUCACGUUUCUUCUCUCUGUUUUCUAGGUACGGAGGCUGAGAAUACAACAACGUAUUAAAACACACAGAACUUGGCAUCAUCAACGAAGAGCAAGACCACGACUUACCUAAUUUCCCACCCUUAUCCCCUUCUUACAUCCAUUGGUGAGUUUCCCCAAUUACAAUCAGCACCUUCUUUGGACAUGUGCCCAAGGUGCAUUUGCACAAGGUCCAAUAUUAUUUUUACAUAUUUACUUCAUAUUUAAGGGUCCAAACAACAUAAAUCAUAGAAACUUUACCAGUAAAAUAUGAAAAUGCACAUAUAAUUAAGGUCCAUUUUAUUA